rnacentral:rRNA from 1 species
CCUACGGGUGGCAGCAGUGGGGGAUAUUGCACAAUGGGGGGAACCCUGAUGCAGCGACGCCGCGUGGGUGAAGAAGCCCCUCGGCGCGUAAAGCCCUGUCAGCAGGGAAGAAAAUGACAGUGUCUGCAGAAGAAGCCCCGGCUAAAUACGUGCCCGCAGCCGCGGGAAUACGUAGGGGGCAAGCGCUAUCCGGAUUUACUGGGUGUGAAGGGGGCGCAGCCGGGGGUGGAAGACAGGUGUGAAAGCCCGGGGCCCAACCCCGGGACUGCUCUUGAAACUGUGUGGCUUGAGUGGAGGAGGGGCAGGCGGAAUUCCUGGUGUAGCGGUGAAAUGCGUAGAUAUUAGGAGGAACACCAGUGGCGAAGGCGGCCUGCUGGACGGCAACUGACGUUGAGGCGCGAAAGCGUGGGGAGCAAACAGGAUUAGAUACCCCAGUAGUC